rnacentral:rRNA from 1 species
UAUAACGGUCCUAAGGUAGCGAAAUUCCUUGUCGGGUAAGUUCCGACCUGCACGAAUGGCGUAAUGAUGGCCAGGCUGUCUCCACCCGAGACUCAGUGAAAUUGAACUCGCUGUGAAGAUGCAGUGUACCCGCGGCAAGACGGAAAGACCCCGUGAACCUUUACUAUAGCUUGACACUGAACAUUGAGCCUUGAUGUGUAGGAUAGGUGGGAGGCUUUGAAGCGUGGACGCCAGUCUGCGUGGAGCCAACCUUGAAAUACCACCCUUUAAUGUUUGAUGUUCUAACGUUGGCCCCUUACCGGGGUUGCGGACAGUGUCUGGUGGGUAGUUUGACUGGGGCGGUCUCCUCCCAAAGCGUAACGGAGGAGCACGAAGGUUAGCUAAUCCUGGUCGGACAUCAGGAGGUUAGUGCAAUGGCAUAAGCUAGCUUGACUGCGAGCGUGACGGCGCGAGCAGGUGCGAAAGCAGGUCAUAGUGAUCCGGUGGUUCUGAAUGGAAGGGCCAUCGCUCAACGGAUAAAAGGUACUCCGGGGAUAACAGGCUGAUACCGCCCAAGAGUUCAUAUCGACGGCGGUGUUUGGCACCUCGAUGUCGGCUCAUCACAUCCUGGGGCUGAAGUAGGUCCCAAGGGUAUGGCUGUUCGCCAUUUAAAGUGGUACGCGAGCUGGGUUUAGAACGUCGUGAGACAGUUCGGUCCCUAUCUGCCGUGGGCGCUGGAGAAUUGAGGGGGGCUGCUCCUAGUACGAGAGGACCGGAGUGGACGCAUCACUGGUGUUCGGGUUGUCAUGCCAAUGGCACUGCCCGGUAGCUAAAUGCGGAAGAGAUAAGUGCUGAAAGCAUCUAAGCACGAAACUUGCCCCGAGAUGAGUUCUCCCUGAGACUUUAAGUCUCCUGAAGGAACGUUGAAGACGACGACGUUGAUAGGCCGGGUGUGUAAGCGCAGCGAUGCGUUGAGCUAACCGGUACUAAUGAACCGUGAGGCUUAACCUUACAACGCCGAAG